rnacentral:lncRNA from 1 species
GAGGCUUCAAGUAUAAAUCAAAUUCUUAGGAAGUUUCCACGAUACUACUGCCUAGGAUUUUGUAUCGUGAGACCACCUCCAUCAUGAUCUAGGACUCUAGGUUGAUGUCUUUCCCAGAAAAGGAAAGUUGCCAAACCAUUGCAUGCAUGCUGCACACCUAGGCAUGCUGCGGCUGGAAAGACUGCAAAAGCAGGUGCACAUACGGACAUAACAAAUGACCAAAAUCAAGGACAAGGCUCCUGGUAGUGGCCUCCAAAGCCCGUCACUUUGGCGUCCUACUGACUCACAUACUCCCCCACGUCCUGACUUACAUACUCC